AAAACGCGAUAAGCAAGCUUCUGUUUAGGGGGAAUGAUGGCGUGUGCCUCUUCAGGGACCGCUUGGAGCAGUUAGAAAGGAAGCGGGAGCGGGAGCGCAAGAUGCGGGAGCAGCAGAAGGAGCAGCGGGAGCAGAAGGAGCGCGAGCGGCGGGCGGAGGAGCGGCGCAAGGAGCGGGAGGCCCGCAGGGAAGGUAGGCGGCGCGGUGGGCAGCUGUGCUCGGCGGGACGCGUGUCUGCUGCCCCGUGGUGCUGGGCACUUGCUUUCACAGGCGGGUGCUUGGUUCCGGUGCUUGCUUUUCGCCCCUGCCUUUUUUUUUUUUUGGAGGCAGAGUUUUGCUCUUGUCCCCCAGGCUGGAGUGCGGGGGCGCGAUCUCGCCUCGCUGCACCCUCUGCCCCCCGGGUUCAAGUGAUCCUCCUGCCUCAGCCUCCGGAGUAGCAGGGAUUACAGGCACCCGCCACCAUGUUCAGCUA
rnacentral:lncRNA from 1 species